UCCUGCCGGACCUGACUGCUAUCGGAUUGAUACUNNNCCAUGCGAGUCAUUGUAGUAAUACAAGGCAGACGGCUCAGUAACGCGUAGUCAACCUACCCUAUGGACGGGAAUAACCUCGGGAAACUGAGAAUAAUGCCCGAUAGAACACUAUGCCUGGAAUGGUUUGUGUUCCAAAUGAUUUAUCGCCGUAGGAUGGGACUGCGGCCUAUCAGGUUGUUGGUGAGGUAAUGGCCCACCAAGACUAUUACAGGUACGGGCUCUGAGAGGAGUAGCCCGGAGAUGGGUACUGAGACACGGACCCAGGCCCUAUGGGGCGCAGCAGGCGAGAAAACUUUGCAAUGUGCGAAAGCACGACAAGGUUAAUCCGAGUGGUUUCUGCUAAAGGAACCUUUUGUCGGUCCUAGAAACACCGAUGAAUAAGGGGUAGGCAAGUUCUGGUGUCAGCCGCCGCGGUAAAACCAGCACCUCAAGUGGUCAGGAUGAUUAUUGGGCCUAAAGCAUCCGUAGCCUGCUUUGUAAGUUUUCGGUCAAAUCUGUACGCUCAACGUACAGGCUGCCGGGAAUACUGCAAAGCUAGGGAGUGGGAGAGGUAGACGGUACUCGGUA
rnacentral:rRNA from 1 species